rnacentral:rRNA from 1 species
GAUGAACGCUGGCGGCGUGCCUAAUACAUGCAAGUCGAGCGAACAGAUGAGGAGCUUGCUCCUCUGACGUUAGCGGCGGACGGGUGAGUAACACGUGGAUAACCUACCUAUAAGACUGGGAUAACUUCGGGAAACCGGAGCUAAUACCGGAUAAUAUAUUGAACCGCAUGGUUCAAUAGUGAAAGACGGUUUUGCUGUCACUUAUAGAUGGAUCCGCGCCGCAUUAGCUAGUUGGUAAGGUAACGGCUUACCAAGGCAACGAUGCGUAGCCGACCUGAGAGUGUGAUCGGCCACACUGGAACUGAGACACGGUCCAGACUCCUACGGGAGGCAGCAGUAGGGAAUCUUCCGCAAUGGGCGAAAGCCUGACGGAGCAACGCCGCGUGAGUGAUGAAGGUCUUCGGAUCGUAAAACUCUGUUAUUAGGGAAGAACAAAUGUGUAAGUAACUAUGCACGUCUUGACGGUACCUAAUCAGAAAGCCACGGCUAACCACGUG